GAUGAACGCUGGCGGCGUGCCUAAUACAUGCAAGUCGAGCGAACGGACGAGAAGCUUGCUUCUCUGAUGUUAGCGGCGGACGGGUGAGUAACACGUGGAUAACCUACCUAUAAGACUGGGAUAACUUCGGGAAACCGGAGCUAAUACCGGAUGAUAUUUUGAACCGCAUGGUUCAAAAGUGAAAGACGGUCUUGCUGUCACUUAUAGAUGGAUCCGCGCUGCAUUAGCUAGUUGGUAAUGUAACGGCUUACCAAGGCAACGAUGCAUAGCCGACCUGAGAGGGGGAGCGGCCACGCUGGGACGGAGACACGGACCAGGAUCGAAAGGGAGGCAGCAGUAGGGAAGCAGCCACAAGGGGCGAAAGCCUGACGGAGCAAGGCAGCGUGAGUGAUGAAGGUCUUGGGAGGGAAAAACGCUGUUAGGAGGGAAAAAGAUAUGGGUAAGGAAGUGGGGAGAGCUUGACGGAACCGAAUAAGAAAGCCACGGCAAACUACG
rnacentral:rRNA from 1 species